UACGUAGGUGGCAAGCGUUGUCCGGAAUUACUGGGCGUAAAGGGCGCGUAGGCGGCCUGUUAAGUCGAACGUGAAAUCCCCGGGCUCAACCCGGGAACUGCGUCCGAUACUGGCAGGCUUGAAUCCGGGAGAGGGAUGCGGAAUUCCAGGUGUAGCGGUGAAAUGCGUAGAUAUCUGGAGGAAUACCGGUGGCGAAGGCGGCAUCCUGGACCAACACUGACGCUGAUGCGCGAAAGCGUGGGGGAGCAAACAGGG
rnacentral:rRNA from 1 species